rnacentral:lncRNA from 1 species
GGGGCCUCGGGACCUAGGCCAUAAGGAUUAGGGUGGGCGGUGAGAAGGCAGACGGCUGUUCCAUCCGCGAGUGAAAGAGGAAUGCUAGUUUCGUCCUGCAGAGAGACGCGGUUGGGCCCUGGGGCCGGAUCAGCGCAGGACUUGGGGUUGGACGGGGCUCAGGGCCUCAAAUUGUUACAAAGUCGGAAAGCAAGCAAGCGUUCUUGUCUUUGUCAGUAAUCAUUAUCAAGAAUCCUAGCUAGCAGGCUUGUCCCACUCGGAUCUGCUUCAAGGAUGGCAUUCCAGCCCUUCCCCAGAAGAACAUCAAGACCCCCAAUUCUUGGGCCCAGCCAGCUAAAACAUUACCUAAAGUAACUAAAAUCAAGGGGUGCCUGGGUGGCUCAGUCUGUUAGGCAUCUGCCUUCAGCUCUGGUCACGGUCCCGGGGUCCUGGGAUUGAGCCCUGCAUCGGGCUCCCUGCUCAGUGGGAGAAUCUGCUUCUCCCUCUGCCCCUCCCCCUGCUCGUGCUCUCUCUCUCUGAAAUAAAUAAAUAAAAAUCUUAAAAAAAAAAAAAAAA